rnacentral:rRNA from 1 species
AAUCAACGCUGGCGGCGUGCCUCAGACAUGCAAGUCGAACGAUUAAAGCUCUCUUCGGAGAGUGUAUAGAGUGGCGCACGGGUGAGUAACACGUAAGUAAUCUACCCUCGAGUGGGGAAUAACGUCCGGAAACGGACGCUAAUACCGCAUAAUGCAGCGGCACCGCAAGGUGACAGUUGUUAAAGAUUUAUUGCUUGAGGAGGAGCUUGCGGCAGAUUAGCUAGNGGUAAGGUAAUGGCUUACCAAGGCUACGAUCUGUAACCGGUCUAAGAGGACGGUCGGUCACACUGACACUGAAUAACGGGUCAGACUCCUACGGGAGGCAGCAGUCGGGAAUUUUGGGCAAUGGGCGAAAGCCUGACCCAGCAACGCCGCGUGAAGGAUGAAGUAUUUCGGUAUGUAAACUUCGAAAGAAUGGGAAGAAUCAAUGACGGUACCAUUUAUAAGGUCCGGCUAACUACGUGCCAGCCGCCGCUGUAAG